rnacentral:rRNA from 1 species
UACAGAGGUCCCAAGCGUUGUUCGGAUUCACUGGGCGUAAAGGGUGCGUAGGUGGCCGGGUAAGUUUGAUGUGAAAUCUCCGAGCUUAACUCGGAAACUGCAUUGAAUACUAUCCUGCUCGAGGGUUGGAAGGGGGACUGGAAUUCUCGGUGUAGCAGUGAAAUGCGUAGAUAUCGAGAGGAACACCAGUGGCGAAGGCGAGUCCCUGGACAACACCUGACACUGAGGCACGAAAGCUAGGGGAGCAAACAGG